AGUCUUCGCCCGGAGUUGCCGCGGUUUCCUGCUUCAACAGUGCUUGGACGGAACCGGCGCUCAUUCCUCCAUCCCGCCGGCCUCUCAGCUCUACCCUUCGCCACCUGCCCACAGCGCCCUCCGUCCGCCCUCAGGUUCCCGCCACCGCUCCAGCGCCGCCGAGCCGCCGCCGCCGCCGCCUCUCCUUAGCCUCCCACCAUGACGACCGCGUCCACCUCGCAGGUGCGCCAGAACUGCCACCAGGACUCGGAGGCCGCCAUCAACCGCCACAUCAACCUGGAGCUCUACGCCUCCUACGUCUACCUGUCCAUGUCUUACUACUUUGACCGCGAUGAUGUGGCUCUGAAGAAUUUUGCCAAAUAUUUUCUUCACCAAUCUCAUGAGGAGAGGGAACAUGCUGAGAAACUGAUGAAGCUGCAGAACCAGCGAGGUGGCAGAAUCUUCCUUCAGGAUGUCAAGAAACCAGAACGUGACGACUGGGACAAUGGGCUGACUGCAAUGGAGUGUGCGUUACACUUGGAAAAAAGUGUGAAUCAG